rnacentral:rRNA from 1 species
UCGAGGAUCUUCGGCAAUGGGCGCAAGCCUGACCGAGCGACGCCGCGUGCGCGAUGAAGGCCUUCGGGUUGUAAAGCGCUGUCGAGGGGGAGGAAGUUCGCCGUAAGGCGAAUUGACCUAUCCCUGGAGGAAGCACGGGCUAAGUUCGUGCCAGCAGCCGCGGUAAGACGAACCGUGCAAACGUUGUUCGGAAUCACUGGGCUUAAAGGGCGCGUAGGCGGACGACCAAGUCAGGGGUGAAAUCUUUCGGCUCAACCGGAAAACAGCCUUUGAUACUGGACGUCUCGAGGGAGGUAGGGGCAUGUGGAACUUCCGGUGGAGCGGUGAAAUGCGUUGAUAUCGGAAGGAACGCCGGUGGCGAAAGCGACGUGCUGGACCUCUUCUGACGCUGAGGCGCGAAAGCUAGGGGAGCGAACGGGAUUAGAUACCCCUGUAGUCC